rnacentral:rRNA from 1 species
UACGGAGGGUGCAAGCGUUGUUCGGAAUUAUUGGGCGUAAAGGGCAGGUAGGUGGUCUUUUAAGUCUUCUGUGAAAUCCCAGGGCUUAACCCUGGAAGUGCGGAGGAUACUGGAAGACUAGAGUGCUAUAGGGGUGUGUGGAAUUCUCGGUGUAGCGGUGAAAUGCGUAGAUAUCGAGAGGAACAUCAGAGGCGAGGGCGACACACUGGAGAGCAACUGACACUCAACUGCGAAAGCGUGGGGAGCAAACAGG